UUGUAUAUGUACACAAAACAAUCCCGAUCAAACACAGAGAAAAAACCCUAUCCCUCCGAGCUUCGACUGAAUGCAUCUAAGCGGCGACGCAAUCAAGGGGAAUCGCGUUUAGUUAGUCGGAUAUUCACUAAAUAAGAGUAUGGAGUCAUUGAUAAGUAUAUAUGUGCAUCAUCAUGGGGAGUUGUCACAUGUGCCAAAAGUCGAAUAUAAAGGGGGCAAAGUUGAUUUUAUUCUUGGUUUUGACACUGAUGUAUUUUCAUUUAGAGACUUGGAUGAUUUUGCCGAAAAAUAUGGUUAUAGCCCCACUGACUUGGUUUAUUUUCAAACAUCUGGAAUGUCUAUCGAAGGAGGUGUUAAACUAUUGUAUGAUGAUAAUACUGUAAGAGAAAUGGUAGAUAUUCACAAACCCUUGGGUAGGAUUGAUUUAUAUGUUGAUCACUAUGAAUUUGAUGAGGUGAUUGAUGUAGCCCACGAAAGUAUUUUGAAAGGGAGUGAAAAUGUUGAGUUGGGUGGAAAUGAGGAGAAUGAGGGGGAAGGCCUAAAAGGUUGCGGAGGAAGGAAGAUUGGGAAGGUGGCAACAGGAUCCAAUCUUCUCAAGUCAAAACUACUGGACCUAUCUUGCAGAGGUUUAGUAACCGAAGAAAAAUGCAUUGCAGUUUGUGCAAAUCACCAGAUCAUAGAAAGAUUAAUUGUCCAACAAAGAGUCAACUACAAGACAAUGAUCAAGGCACUCAGACUCAACCACCUGGCAACAAGAAGACAACAACAAGAACUGAGAAUGAGGUACGAGUGGUGACUCAAACAGCACAGGAACCGGUGGUGACACAGGAUGAAAAUCAUGUAGUCGCACAAAAGAAGAAGACACCAAAAGAAGCAAAAAGACAGAAAAUACAAGUUCGAAGAGCAGUAAAGAAUGUUGACAAGCAAAAGUUGCCAUUUGUGAAGAACAAUGAUCCUACAGGGGAAAAUACAUGCACUGGCAAGGACUGAAAGGAGUUAUAACCAACCUUUUGUUAUAAGUAGCAGAACCCUUGUUUAUUUCGUUUGCUAAAUUUUGGUUUAUUUGGACACUUCAGCAGUACUUUUGCGCUAAGAGACUUGGAAUGUAUUUCAGUAUGCUUGUUUGGAUAACUUUAAGAAAUUGGAAAUGUAUUUGCAAGUUUAUUAUGAGAUGGUGAUUUUAAGAAUUAAUUUUCAUUUA